CACACACUAUGGAUGAUGGAUUA
rnacentral:siRNA from 1 species